GACGAACGCUGGCGGCGUGCUUAACACAUGCAAGUCGUACGGUAAGGCCCUUUCGGGGGUACACGAGUGGCGUACGGGCGAGUAACGCGUGAGUAACCUGCCCACAACUUUGGGAUAACGCUAGGAAACUGGUGCUAAUACUGGAUAUGUGCUCCUGCUGCAUGGUGGGGGUUGGAAAGCUCCGGCGGUUGUGGAUGGACUCGCGGCCUAUCAGCUUGUUGGUGGGGUAGUGGCCUACCAAGGCGGCGGCGGGUAGCCGGCCUGGGGGGGUGACCGGCCACAAUGGGACUGAGGGACGGAGCAGACGCGUACGGGAGGCAGCAGGGGGGAAUAUUGCACAAUGGGCGCAAGCCUGAUGCAGCAACGCCGCGUGCGGGAUGACGGCCUUCGGGUUGUAAACCGCUUUCAGCAGGGACGAAGCUUUUUGUGACGGUACCUGCAGAAGAAGCACCGGCUAACUACGUG
rnacentral:rRNA from 1 species